rnacentral:rRNA from 1 species
AGUGAACGCUGGCGGUAGGCCUAACACAUGCAAGUCGAACGGCAGCACAGUAAGAGCUUGCUCUUACGGGUGGCGAGUGGCGGACGGGUGAGGAAUACAUCGGAAUCUACUUUUUCGUGGGGUAUAACGUAGGGAAACUUACGCUAAUACCGCAUACGCCCUACGGGUGAAAGCAGGGGAUCUUCGCACCUUGCGCGAUUGAAUUACCCGAUGUCGGAUUAGCUAGUUGGCGGGGUAAAGGCCCACCAAGGCGACGAUCCGUAGCUGGUCUGAGAGGAUGAUCAGCCACACUGGAACUGAGACACGGUCCAGACUCCUACGGGAGGCAGCAGUGGGGAAUAUUGGACAAUGGGCGCAAGCCUGAUCCAGCCAUACCGCGUGGGUGAAGAAGGCCUUCGGGUUGUAAAGCCCUUUUGUUGGGAAAGAAAAGCAGCAGGUUAAUACCCCGCUGUUCUGACGGUACCCAAAGAAUAAGCACCGGCUAACUUCGUG